AUUGAACGCUGGCGGAAUGCUUUACACAUGCAAGUCGAGCGGCAGCGCGGGGCAACCUGGCGGCGAGCGGCGAACGGGUGAGUAAUGCAUCGGAACAUGUCCAUGUCUGGGGAUAGCCCGCCGAAAGGCGGAUUAAUACCGCAUAAGCCCGGGAGGGGAAAGCAGGGGACCGCAAGGCCUUGCGCGAUUGGGUUGGCCGAUGUCCGAUUAGCUAGUUGGUGGGGUAAAGGCUUACCAAGGCGAUGAUCGGUAGCUGGUCUGAGAGGAUGAUCAGCCACACUGGGACUGAGACACGGCCCAGACUCCUACGGGAGGCAGCAGUGGGGAAUUUUGGGACAAUGGGGGCAACCCUGAUCCAGCCAUUCCGCGUGAGUGAAGAAGGCCUCGG
rnacentral:rRNA from 1 species